GAUGAAGAACUCAGCGAAAUGCGAUAAGUAGUGUGAAUUGCAGAAUUCAGUGAAUCAUCGAAUCUUUGAACGCACAUUGCGCCCUUUGGUAUUCCUUAGGGCAUGCCUGUUCGAGCGUCAUUUAAACCUUCAAGCUAAGCUUGGUGUUGGGUGACUGUCCGCUUCACGGCGGACUCGCCUCAAAAUUAUUGGCGGCCGGUACAUUGGCUUCGAGCGCAGCAGAAACGCGAACUCGGGCCCGUCGUAUUGGCUCCCAGAAGCUAUCUUCACAAUUUUGACCUCGGAUCAGGUAGGGAUACCCGCUGAACUUAAGCAUAUCAAUAAGCGGAGGA
rnacentral:misc_RNA from 1 species